AAAGUCGUAACAAGGUUUCCGUAGGUGAACCUGCGGAAGGAUCAUUAAAGAGAUCAUGCCCUCACGGGUAGACCUCCCACCCUUUGUUUACAAUACCUUUGUUGCUUUGGCGGGCCCGUUUGGCCCCGCGCUGAACAACCGGCCCCGGCUGGUCAGUGCCCGCCAGAGAACCGAAAACUCUGAAUUAAAUGUCGUCUGAGUACUAUGUAAUAGUUAAAACUUUCAACAACGGAUCUCUUGGUUCUG
rnacentral:misc_RNA from 1 species